rfam:Kibdelosporangium phytohabitans strain KLBMP1111, complete genome.
GGCUUUUUUCGCGCGGGAGCUCGACCCGCGACCGAGCAGCUGAUCAAGUUCGUCAGCGACCACAAGCACACGUUCGGAGUCGAGCCGAUCUGCCGGGUCAUGGGGAUCGCUCCG